UAACACGUAGAUAACCUGCCCUUUAGUGGGGAAUAACUCCUCGAAAGAGGAGCUAAUACCGCAUAAGCUCUCUGCCGAUAGGCAAAGAGGAAACGCGCAAGUGGCUAAAGGAGGGGUCUGCGGCGGAUUAGCUAGUUGGUGGGGUAAUGGCCUACCAAGGCGACGAUCCGUAGCUGGUCUGAGAGGAUGAUCAGCCACACUGGAACUGAGACACGGUCCAG
rnacentral:rRNA from 1 species